rnacentral:rRNA from 1 species
UGGGGAAAAUUGGACAAUGGGCGCAAGCCUGACCCAGCCAUGCCGCGUGAGUGAUGAAGGCUCUAGGGUUGUAAAGCUCUUUCACCGGUGAAGAUAAUGACGGUAACCGGAGAAGAAGCCCCGGCUAACUUCGUGCCAGCAGCCGCGGUAAUACGAAGGGGGCUAGCGUUGGUCGGAUUUACUGGGCGUAAAGCGCACGUAGGCGGACUUUUAAGUCAGGGGUGAAAUCCCGGGGCUCAACCCCGGAACUGCCUUUGAUACUGGAAGUCUUGAGUAUGGUAGAGGUGAGUGGAAGUCCGGGUGUAGAGGUGAAAUUCGUAGAUAUUCGGAGGAACACCAGUGGCGAAGGCGGCUCACUGGACAAUUACUGACGCUGAGGUGCGAAAGCGAGGGGAGCAAACGGG